rnacentral:rRNA from 1 species
UACGGAGAAUGCGAGCGUUAUCCGGAUUUAUUGGGUUUAAAGGGUGCGUAGGCGGGCUUUUAAGUCAGCGGUAAAAAUUCGGGGCUCAACCCCGUCCGGCCGUUGAAACUGGGGGUCUUGAGUGGGCGAGAAGAAGGCGGAAUGCGUGGUGUAGCGGUGAAAUGCAUAGAUAUCACGCAGAACCCCGAUUGCGAAGGCAGCCUUCCGGCGCCCUACUGACGCUGAGGCACGAAAGUGCGGGGAUCGAACAGG